AGAGUUUGAUCCUGGCUCAGAUUGAACGCUGGCGGCAUGCCUAACACAUGCAAGUCGAACGGUAACAGGCCGCUGGGAUCCCUUCGGGGUGACCUUGGCGCUGACGAGUGGCGAACGGGUGAGUAAUGCUUGGGAAUCUGCCCAGUAGUGGGGGACAACCCGGUGAAAACCGGGCUAAUACCGCAUACGUCCUACGGGAGAAAGUGGGGGAUCUUCGGACCUCACGCUAUUGGAUGAGCCCAAGUCGGAUUAGCUUGUUGGUGGGGUAAAGGCCUACCAAGGCGACGACCCGUAGCUGGUCUGAGAGGACGAUCAGCCACACUGGGACUGAGACACGGCCCAGACUCCUACGGGAGGCAGCAGUGGGGAAUAUUGNACAAUGGGCGCAAGCCUGAUCCAGCAAUGCCGCGUGUGUGAA
rnacentral:rRNA from 1 species